rnacentral:rRNA from 1 species
UACGUAGGGUGCAAGCGUUACUCGGAAUUACUGGGCGUAAAGCGUGCGCAGGCGGCUUUGCAAGACAGAUGUGAAAUCCCCGGGCUCAACCUGGGAACUGCAUUUGUGACUGCAUGGCUAGAGUACGGUAGAGGGGGAUGGAAUUCCGCGUGUAGCAGUGAAAUGCGUAGAUAUGCGGAGGAACACCGAUGGCGAAGGCAAUCCCCUGGACCUGUACUGACGCUCAUGCACGAAAGCGUGGGGAGCAAACAGG